GAAUAUUCGUUACAGUUAUAUUAAAAUAAUUGUACAUUUUAUAUUUUAAUGAUAUAAGUGCAGUGGACGCAAGCGGUAGUAAACUUGUUGAGCGCUGGAUAAAUGGAAAGGAAAUGGAUCGUCUUUGAAAUAGUAACAAAAACUACACAUAAGGAUACAAUAAGCGCACAGAUUCAAAUGACAAGCAGGCAUCCGUACUCCUAGUCCC
rnacentral:sRNA from 1 species